rnacentral:rRNA from 1 species
UACGAGGGGGGCAAGCGUUGUUCGGAAUUAUUGGGCGUAAAGGGCGCGUAGGCGGUGCGGUAAGUCACCUGUGAAACCUCUAGGCUCAACCUAGAGCCUGCAGGCGAAACUGCCGUGCUUGAGGGUGGGAGAGGUGCGUGGAAUUCCCGGUGUAGCGGUGAAAUGCUUAGAUAUGACAUAGAACACCAAUUGCGAAGGCAGCUCGCUACACGAAUAUUGACUCUGAGGCACGAAAGCGUGGGGAUCAAACAGG